rnacentral:lncRNA from 1 species
AUUUCUGUGUGACCGUGAAGUUUUUGUUUCAAUGUUGAUUCACAGUGUGAUUUUAGGAGGACAUUAUAAACAGCAAUGAAACUCCACGUGCAGGGAACCCAGGGUGCACACAGCACAGGGGAUGCGACAGCAACUUGAACUUCUGGGCCCUUUGAGCGCAUGCUCAGACUGAGCCAGGACCGCCGCCUGGUUGAGCCGCUCUGGGAUGAAUGGCAGGUUACAUCUGCAACCAUACUGCGAUACGGUGUAGCACUGGCAUCAUGGGUAAGAUUCGUCCCCUUAUGUGAAUAAGUCUAAUGACGGUACUGCUGUUGAUGAUCAAAUAUAUCAAGAAGCUAAGUGAAAGCCUCCUCAGGAUAUAAUACUGAUGGAAAAUGACUGGCCUGAGGAAACACUAGAUUUCAUUAAUCGUCAUCUAAUUGCUAUGUUAAAUAGUUCUGGCCAGGUACGGUGGCUCACACCUGUAAUCUCAGCAUUUUGGGAGGCUGAUGUGGGAGGAUCACUUGAACCCAGGAGUUUGAGAGACCAGCCUGGGCAAUAUAAUGAGAUCCUGUCUCUACAAAAACUAAAAGCUGAAAAAUAAAAUUAGUCAGGUAUGGUGGUGUGCACCUGUACUUCCAGCUACUUAGGAGGCUGAGGAGAGAGGAUCACUUGAGCUUGAGCUCGGGAGAUCAAGGCUACAGUGAGCUGUGAUCACACCACUGCACUCCAGCCUGGGCAACAGAGAUCCUGUCUCUAAAACGAAAACAAAACAAUAGUUCUGCACAAGUGUAUCAUGAGAUAUAGAUGGUAGUAGAACAAGUCAUCAUAUCAGGACAAAAAUAUGAAAAUGUAUGUAAUGACUUUCUAGAUAGAUAAGUUGUUUCUUUUUUAAAAUUUAAUUUUAAUUGAAAAUAAAAAUUUUAUAUAUUUGUUGUGAACAACAUGAUGUUUUGAAAUAUGUAUACAUUGUGGAAUGGCUCAAUUGCAUUAAUUAACAUAUGUGUUAU